AUUUUGCAUACAUAUAAACAAAAAGGAAUACAUGAAAUAAUAAUAAGGGCUUAUGCCCUUUUACAACACAAAUCAAAUGAUGGACUUAUGUCCAUUUACAACAAAUGAAUUAAUCAAAUUACAUUCAAACCUAUACUACUAAAACCCAAACAUUCAUAAUGUAUAUCGGCCAAUCACAUAGCUCAAUUAUAGUGGCCUUUGGUUCAUAAUCACCCUUUUCUUAAUCAAUCAAAUUAACUAAGAAAACAACUUUAAACAAUUGGUUUUUGGAUCCAUAGAAUUGAUUUAAAUGGAACUAAAUGAAAUGAAAAUUCAAUUCUCAUUUAAAGAGACAAAACAAUUUUGUUCUCAUCCUUUUGGGCCAAAAGGAAACUAUGACCACAACAUUUGGGCCACAACGUAAAAACGUAAACUUUUUGGGCUAAAAUGCAAAUACACAAAAGUAUCUAAAACUUUAUGUAAUUGCACAAAGGGCCCCAAAAUUAACCCCACUUGGGGUGGCCGGCCAUUUGGGAAAAAUUUGAAAAAAAAAUCUAAAAAAUUUUGCUAGUGGUUUUUGGUGGGUGAGGAAAAGGAUGAAAGUGAUGAUUUGUUUGAAAAAUAAAGUCUAUGACUAAUUAUGACAAAUAUUAAAAUCAUUUCAUCACAUCUCACCAAUAACCUCAAUCAUCAAAAUUUAAACCAAAACUUUAUGAAAAACAUAAAACUUUUGAAUCAAAACUUCAAAACUUUAUGUUCUUGGCAAGAACUUCAAGAACAUUGAAGAACACUCAUGAAAACUCAUAAUAGCUCCAUGAAUGUUUUUCACUUACCAAAACUCAAAUUUUCACCAUUCAAAAGAGGGCUAACAUCCUAGGGUACUUAGGGGUUCCAAAAGUCACUUUAAAACCAUUUUAACAAGACAAAC
rnacentral:lncRNA from 1 species